rnacentral:rRNA from 1 species
UACGAAGGGGGCUAGCGUUGCUCGGAAUCACUGGGCGUAAAGCGCACGUAGGCGGAUCUUUAAGUCAGGGGUGAAAUCCUGGAGCUCAACUCCAGAACUGCCUUUGAUACUGAGGAUCUUGAGUCCGGGAGAGGUGAGUGGAACUCCGAGUGUAGAGGUGAAAUUCGUAGAUAUUCGGAAGAACAUCAGUGGCGAAGGCGGCUCACUGGCCCGGUACUGACGCUGAGGUGCGAAAGCGUGGGGAGCAAACAGG